rnacentral:tRNA from 1 species
GGGCCAGUGGUGUAGUGGUAACACACUGCGUUUGGACGUGAAAAGAUGUGGUUCGAUUCCCUACAGGUCCA